CACACUCCAGCUUUCAAAAAUUUAGACAUUAAUUGACAGUUGAAAUUAAAAUUGAAAAUGUAUCCAACAAAAGUUGGCCUUAAAUUUACAAAAUAAAUAUUUAAAGACACUUCCUUGACGUUCUACGGCGAAUGGCAAUUACUUAAGCAAACAGCGCUAAAUUCGGCUAAUUUGUGAAGCUAAGCAACCGCGCGACAUGCAAACAGCAUUUAAAACUUGUCUUGUAUGCCAUUAAAAAGAAGAAGAA
rnacentral:sRNA from 1 species